CAGACUCAUGUGUUUUCUACAAGCCCCCACAAGAAGAGUUUGGGGCUACUGAAACUGUAGCAGUCGCUCACCUGGGCGGACUACUGGCUUUGCGGAAGCGUGGAAUUUAGAGUCCUCGCUGAGGCAGGGAGAAGUCCAACCCAGCAACAAGCACUAGCAUACAUAGACCCGUACGAAACAAUCCGAGACAGCGGCAGCGGAGUCUUGAACUCUGAACACCAAGUAGUCAUGAUACUUAAGUGCCUCACCAUGGCACCCCGCCCAGGUAGCUUACAUCUCGGCCUACCUGCCGGAGAUUCCCUACUACGUUCCUGCCGUGCUAGGAUACUGUCGGUGUAUCCUCCGGUGGCAGGUU
rnacentral:lncRNA from 1 species